UCCUGCUCCGUCGCCCCAGUGUUCAGACUACCUGUUCAGGACAAUGCCGUUGUACAGUAGUCUGCACAUUGGUUAGACUGGGCAAGGGAGAGCAACGCCACGGACUGCUGGGGACAAACAGAAUUUGCUGUGUCCAAGGAGAAGACGUUUGUUUGCUCCUCUUUUUGAAUCUCAUAUCCAGUGUUUUUCUUCACAGGUUUUGCACACUAGGGAUCACGAAGCCCUCGGGGACAGUGCCGGGAAGGGACGGCUCGAGAGGAGAGCGGCGGGGAGAUACACAAAUAUUUUAGGGAUCAUGGAAUCUAUUCCAGAGGAAACUAACCAACAAUGAAUAUCUUCAACUAAAACUACCCCUGGAUUUAAUGGUUGCAUGCAUCAUUCCUUUAAUUGGGCAGAGUUAACUGGAUCAAAUUAUUUAUGGGCAAGAGAGGGAAAUCUAUAUAGAAUUAUAAUAAUUUUUAAUUUCCACCACUAUAUUCUUUGUAAGUGAAUCAUACUAUAAUUAUUUUCUGUUGCAUUGAAUGCAGCAACAAUAACAAAAUAGUAACAGAAGGUAUUUGUUUUUUACAUACUUUGUUCUUGUAAUUAUUGAAGUAGCAGCCAAGUUUAUUGAUGUUUUUGAUUGUGUUAAGAAAAAAAAAAAGUUCUGCUCUGAAGUGAUGGUCAGAAACAAUAAGACAUUUAAUUUCUGAAAUUAAAUAAAUACAGAGAAGACUGUACUUAUCAAUUCUUUGUUUAAACUUUGUGAUAUCUAAUCACUGCAUAAAGGUUCAGAUUUGUGGCAACUGUACCUUUUUCAGUCUCUAAAAACUAUUUUUCUCUCCAUAAAGUUUCUAUUUGCUAUUUCCUCAGAAUUUUACAAUUAAAGGUAAAUAAUAAAUUAUUUGUUUUCUUUAAAGUUCCUUUAAAAAAUCCCAAGAAACCUCCUUAGAUAAUAAUGUGUUUUGUUGUUUUUUAAAGUAAUCUCACUUACUAGAAAUUUGACCAUUUUGAUAUUUUGUUUGGGGAGGGGAGUUUGCUAAAUAUUUUUAUAGAUUUGAAUUUAUAAAUAAUAUUAAAAUCACCAGGCUAAUUGUUUUUGACUCAUCAGGAUUACUAUUAUAUCUAUAUAUGUAUGACAUUAACUCUUUCUUGUAUGAAUUAUAAGAAAAUUUUCCAAAAGGUCUGAUUUUGGCUUUGAGGUAUGAAACAAGUUUUUCCCUUUCUGUGUUUCAUGUGCUAUUCUGUUUGGCACUGACAAUGCCCAAGCACAUCUGCGCACCACUGUGGGUAGAGGCCUCCCAGUAUGGCAGGUUCCUGAAGUUAAUUAAGAGGAGGAUAACUUAGGCCCACAAUGUCUUUUAUCUGAAUUUCACAUCCAUACUUAGUAACUUUGCAUUUAAAAGGAAAAUGAGAAAUAAGUUUGUGUCAUUUAACAUAAUGUUGGUAACAAUACAUCCCUUGUAAAACCCCACUAUCAAAGCAACAGACACCAAAGGCUGUUGGAUUUAGUGCCAACUAUAUUAGGCUCAUUAAUUAUUUUGAAAAUGGCUGUCGUUUCCAUAUAAAUGACAAUUUUCUUUUUCAUGGACAAAGUUAUGGUAUUUAUCUACUACAAGAAACAUGUAUAAACAACUUCAUUAUCUUUAACUUCAGUAUUAAAAUAUGCAGAGUUUUUGUGAAGAGGAAAAACAUCUGGUUCAAUUACUCUGAACUCUGACUGCAUGUGGGCCAGUAAUAAUAUGGAUUGGAUUUUAAGAAUAAACCUUGUGUUUAAUCUUUAUUUUUCCUUAAAGUUUUAAUGUGAGUGUUCUGUUAUUCCAAUUAUCCAUGUUAGCACGUUUGGAACAAAUGUAUAAGUGUACUUUCUGAAUAAAGUCAAACGUCUAACUUGUUUUUAGUUCCAUAAUGUUUUAAUGUUUAAUUCUAUUGUGUGUUUUUCUCCCUUUCCCCUUACUCUCCAAAAUCACCAAAUCUGGAAAACAGACUGAUUGUAUCUGUUCAUGAACAAAGGAAACCUGAAGGAACCAAGGGCCUGGCUGGACAGAGUUGUCAUGUGUCUGCCUGUCUACACUUGCUGUGCAGAACAUCCGCUCACCUGUACAGCAGGCACAGACAGGCAGUCACAUGACAACCCAGCCUGAAUGACCACCAGCCAUUGAAAGAAAGCAGCCCUCACACCAUACAAUCUACACCAAGAGCUACAACCAAAAUGAGGGGCUUGGGGGCCUGGGAAUUUAAUCUGUUAACUUAAUACUUAACUCGUAUGUAUUAUUAUUAUUUUAUUUUGAUUCAAAUAUUAAAACCCACCAAAAGUAAAGUGAGUGGUGCCUAUUAAAUAUAAUA